UGAGUGAAAGACUCACAAGAGAAGCUGAUUGCCCAGGAGAAACACUGCAACUGAUUCAACAAGUGCCACUGAAUACCCCAAGUCAAAAGAGAGAAUUGCUCCCUGGCUAAUCAUUCUGUUGCAGAAGCAUUAAAUUACUUGUCAAACUGGCAACUACAAAGAAUCGUGUCCAGCGAUGGAACACAUUCACAAAGCCAAAUUAAAUUCCAUUGCAAGCACAAAACUGUUUUCAAAACUGUGUUCCAAGCUGACAAGAGUGCCACAAGCAAAGAAAAAUUAUAAGCACAAAUUGCAUUCUGGAGAUAAAUUACCAGUCCUCCCCAAACCUUUACCUCAAACAUUAUUAAGCUCAGCACUACAAAAGGAAACUCUCUGAAAAAAAGCAUCAUGCUAGUUACUCUGUAUCACUACACUGACUCUGUGGCAUGAGACUGCACCCUAAUUAGUGGUGUGGCUUGCAUCUCUGUAACUGAAUUAUCCUGACUGCUCUUUUUUAUUAUUAGUUCUCUCUUCCAGAAGGGUAGAAUAUUAUCUGCUGCAUUGUUUUCAUUUACGCUUAUUGAUACUGAAUUUAAUUAUGUUUUUCUAGCUCAUAGUACUUAGGAAAUUGGAAAGAGCCUGCUCAAAAUUAAAAAUAUAUUAGAGGAAUUAAUGAACAGUUUACUUGUCGGUGAGCUGGUUCGGAUGACAUCAAUUUGGCCAUUAAAUAAAGCCAAUCAUCCACCAGGUACACGAAAUUUCUAUCAGUGUGUACAUGAGUCAAGAAAACAUGCUUACUGCAAUUUUCUAUAGGAAAAGUGCCAUUUUUAGAGUGGCAGAUCUUGGCCUCUUUAGUCACACUGACAUCACUGACAGUGCUGAGGCCCUACUCCAGCACCCACAGAAAUCAAGACCAAGUGACCCAAUUCAGCAAAGACUGAAUAUGAAUUUUCUAGAGGUGAGGAGUUCCCCAAAGCCAGUGGGACCAGACAGGCAGGAAAGCACAUAAAUACUCCUUGGCAGGAUAAAGACACGUGUGGGCUACAUGGGCUCAUCAGCAAUGAUGGGGCUGUUCAUGGCUCCUCACCUCAACUGUGGCUCUUGCCCCUGGGAGACACAAAGAACAAGUUUCCACUAAAAGGUCAAAAAACAGGAGCCUUGAACUCAAGGGGAAACGUCAUGCUUGUGAAAGUUGGAAAAACACCAAAACCCCCCAAAAUCUGUAACAAGCACUCCACACAUCUAACCCUAACAUCUCCAUCCACUCCUACCCAGGAUCUGCUUGUUUAUUCUAACAAAAAUUGGGAAGAUGCAUCAAUGUGACUUGACUACUGAUUCCCCUGAAUGAAUCAGUAUUUCAAAAUCUUGCAAUCCUGCAUAUUAAAAUUUUAACUUACAUCGGAUGAAGCUGAUUCAAGGAUAAUUCCAAACCCUGAAACAGGGGUUUCUGGUUUCAGGGGGGGUUCAAUUGCUUGCAGACUCGAUCGUUCUGAGUUUGCUGACAGUCUCUUCUCGUUCUCUGCAGAGUUGGGUUUCUUAUUCAUGGUAACUGCUUCAACAGCUUUGAGGGGCAGUUUUCUCUUUUUAUUUCUCUUUCUUGAUAUUGUUGACUUCUGUGCACAAAUCAGAGGAACAGGAGGCUGCUGUCUGUUUUGAGUCCCAACUGAAUGAAAGAAAUUAAUGCAUUAAUUUUAUAGACAAAAGUCCAUGAAUAACCACACAGAUGCACCAAUAAAUUACUGACACACUGAACUUAUAUUCUAGAUAAGUGAUGUGAUUUUCAGGGCUGCUGCUGCCUGGGAAACAAAUAAGUUUUAUCACCUUUGCAUAAUUUUCCUAUAACUACAAUGGGGAUAAUGACAGUGAGCUCUGCUGUGCGGCUUUUCAAGUCACACUGAUGAACAGUAUUUUAGGAAAAUUAGGAAUACAUGGUUCUUUUUCCUAGUGACCACUGGAUGGUUGGUGACAUGAAGCACUUAAGUGAUGAUUAAUUUGUCUGCCCUCUGAAUGACUGAGAAUCUCACUGUCAUUGAGGAUCUCUUCCUGAUAAAGUAAGAUAAUACAAGCGCUAAUGCAAUGACAGUUAUCUUUAUGACUGUGGUCUCCAAGUUAAUUAGCUAAGCAAGAACAUUUCAAGUACCAUUAUGUCAAGAAUGAGUGAAAACACUAUUCAAUAGUUUAAUUUCUAGGGGAAAAAAGUAACCCAAAGUUGCAUCAGAUUGUUUUGCUCAUACACAAAAACUGACAUGUAUUACCUUUGAAAUGUGAGAAACCGUAUUUUAUAUUUAUCAGUGUUUUGCAUUUUCCAAUAUCCACAAUCAUUGGUAUAAAUUAAGGCACUAAUCCUGAACUUGCAUCAAUAUGAGCAAGCCCUCCAGAAGAAUGCUAUCAAGAUACAAUUAUAUGUGUGGAUAAAUCACUAAGAUCAAGGUCAAAACAAACAAACAAAAAGCCAGAAGUGCUAUACAUGCAGAUCAAACUCAUUCAAGACA